rfam:Oryza glumipatula chromosome 11, whole genome shotgun sequence.
AAAAAGUCAAACCCUGGGUUUCCGUACCAAUGUUUAAUUGUUUGUCUUAUAUAAAUUUUUUUUAUAAUUAGUAUUUUUAUUGUUGUUAGAUGAUAAAACAUGAUUAAUACUUUAUGCAUGACUUAUCUUUUUAAUUUUUUAAUAAUUUUUUUCAAAUAAGACGGACGGUCAAACGUUAGACACGGAAACUAGGGUUUGUCUUUUU